GCCGGGCAUGGUGGCUCAUGCCUGUAAUCCCAGUGACUCAGGAAGCUGAGGCAGGAGGAUCAGGGCCUCUCAAGAUCCUGUCUCAA
rnacentral:sRNA from 1 species